GCUGGCAUAAUGAUGAUUUUUUUGCCGUUUACCCAACUGAUAUGUUUGAUGAGUAUCUGUAUAUCUGAGAUGCCAGC
rnacentral:snoRNA from 1 species